UACAGAGGUCUCAAGCGUUGUUCGGAUUCAUUGGGCGUAAAGGGUGUGUAGGUGGCGCGCUAAGUCGGGUGUGAAAUUUCGGAGCUUAACUCCGAAACUGCAUUCGAUACUGGCGUGCUUGAGGACUGGAGAGGAGACUGGAAUUCAUGGUGUAGCAGUGAAAUGCGUAGAGAUCAUGAGGAAGACCAGUGGCGAAGGCGGGUCUCUGGACAGUUCCUGGCACUGAGACACGAAGGCCAGGGGAGCAAACGGG
rnacentral:rRNA from 1 species